UUAAGUUUUUUAAAUUCUAUUUUGGUUUUAGUUAUUUUUAGUUUAUUUUUUUUUUUCUAAUGUAUUAAAUAUUUUUUUGUUAGUAUUUUUAUUAUAAUUACAAUUUCUUCCACAUGCAGCCAAUGAAUGCCAAGCCUUCUUUCCGUUAGAAAUUUUCUUUGGAAAUUUACUGCAAGAAAGGUUGCAUACUUUUAGGCGCCUUGUUCUAUUUAGUCAUCUAAUAUGAAAUGUAGUGGCUUUUUGAGUUAAGCGGUUACUGGUGUGAAGCGACAAUCUGUCCUGGAAUGUGGCGAAAUAAAAAGAUUAUAAAGCAAAAAUGGGGAAAUUUUAGUAAAAUUUAAGGUAUAAAUGUUUUCAAUGUUCUUAUAAGGAUGUUUAAACAAAUGAAAAAUAUUUUUUAAGUUAUCCAUUAUCAUAUAAAUUCUUGUAACGGUAGAUAAUGGUACUCGCGACACUAUUGGAGCUGCAGAUUAUGUCACGAGCCUUUUUUGACUUCACAAAACAUGAAAAUAUAAACUGUUUUUUAUUUGCCAGACUUUGGACCACUCUGAGGCGACUUAGUAAAAAUUGAUAGACUUUUAAAAUGAAAUAAAUAUAUGCAUGUAUGUAAAUGAUUAGCGCCAUGAGGUGAGUCGAUUUAGCCUUCUGGGUCUGUCUGCCCGUCUGUCUGUAUAUACGCGAAGUAGUCCCUCAGUUUUUGAGUUAUCGCUCUGAAAUUUUGCACACGUAAUUUUUUCACUAAGAAUUUGCUUAUUUAUCCUUAUCGCCGAUAUUGGACCACUGUAUCAUAUGGCUGUCAUAUAAACUGAGCUAUCAAAAUCAAGUUCUUGAGAGAACUGUCUAGGGUAUUCAAGCUUCGGUACAGCCGAAGUUAACUUAUUUUUUGGAAUGUCGGCUUUUCGGACAAUAUUUUCGCGGUGUAUAAGAAAAAAAUGUUUUUUUUUUUGGCCCAGCCUAAUGUCCAUACCUGUGUAGGUAUAGCCGUAAUCGGUUGGUUUGGGCUUGGCUGCAAGGUGCAAGUGUCGUGCAACUAAUUGCUUUAAUUAUUGUUUUUUAACUUUUUAGUUUUUGAUAAAAUGUUUUUCUUGAAAACUAAAUGUGUGUAUUGCAAUAAAUUCAUUGAAAAUCCAUAAAAGGCAACAAAAAGUCAAGUUUCGCCAAAUUAAAUACGUAAAAUCUAAAAUUAAUAAAUAAACAGUAACAAAAAAAUACUUAAAAAGCAUAAAACUAGAAAAGCGAACUAGAGCAGUAGCGAUAUGAAUCCAGUAGAUGCGUACAAACUUACAUACAUACAAACGUAUGUGAUAUUGAAGAGUAAUGCGGCUGAGGCGUGGCCUGCAGUAGUUUGAAGUAGUAGAUAUGUAACUUUUGGCAUUGUUUUCGUCCGUCCACGUUGUUAGCUUUCAUAAAAGAGAAUAUAAUGAAUAUAGUAAAUAAAUAAAUUGUAAAAUAACAAACAAAUCCAUGUUAUAUAAUUGAAAAUGUUUCUUUGUAAAGCUGAAAUGAGAGACAGCAGGCAAACUGAGAGCGGCACAUGGAAUUCAGAAGUAUAAAAUAAACAAAAAAAAAUAAGAAUUAUGAAAUAGAAUAAAAUUAACGAAUAUUUACUUCCCAAAAAUGUAAAGUUCCACCACUUAAAUAUUUCCAAACCCAAACUUUUAAAAAACUAAUGUACAGAAUUAUAAAAAAGUUGAAAAUCAUUACUGUAAAUGCAAAAGGAAUCUCCAACUAGUAUCUAGAGCAUAUUAACUGCACUUAUUUACUCAAAUAUAUACAUACAUAUAUACACUUAUAUAAGGGCCGUUAGUUCACUGGCAUACAGGCCUGCAACAUGAAUACUAAUGCGCACAAACACACAGUUACCUAAUGCGUAUUUGUGGCUUUGAAAAAAAUUCAAAAAAUCCGAAUACACCGCGGUGUACACACACAUACUAACAAACGUAAGAUAAGCAAUCCAAAAACCGAAUUAAUAUUUGUACAGAGCUAAUAUCCUGUUCCUGUUGGCCAUGAAGAUCAGUCUUCCUACGAUAAGACGCCGUUCAGCAAAUGAAAAUAUGCAAAUACAACCCUGCUAUAUAUUUUUAAGAAAAUUUUAUGCGCUAUAAAACUAGUUUCGAUUCUUUAAAUUGGCUGGAAUUGUAGUGAUUUGUUGUACAUUUGAUUAUAUGAGUUUAAUAUCGGUAAUAUUUUGUUUUGGGUUCAAAAGUAGUGGCUUAGACGUCAAAAGGACUGGACUUGCUUGUGUUUCUUUACAAACCCAAGAGACUUCAGUACCGGCCUAAAGCGACAGUGUUUAAUUUAAUGUUCUUUAGAACUUUUCGAUUUAUCAAGUUCGUUUUUGAAAAAAACAUUAAAAUUUCAAACUUUUUCGAAUUUUUCUGUUUUUCAUUCAUUUAAAAAAAAUUCUGUUCUCCCUUUGGUCUUGCUAACAAGAGAUCUUCGGCUGCAUUUUAUCUCUCAUAUCUUAACAUUUUGAUUUAAUCUCCUGACCUCGCCACUUUUCUGGUAAAUACUAAAAUAUUGGAAAAACUGAAAAUUUAACUAAAUUUAACAACAAAGUUCUAAAUCCAUUUGCGCUGUAUCAAGAGUUCGCAUCGUCAUUACCAUUAUGGUUUCAGCAAAAAUUCAAGACAAAAAAGACUUUCUUCUGAUGCGCCAAUUCUUAUGUGAACUCAAUGCAUGUCAUUACUUGAAAAUUCAUUUGCAUUCAUGUCGCAUCAAUGAACAUUUUCCUUUUCAUUUUUUAUUUGAAAAGAUAUUUUCAUUUAAUUUGGCACAGAUUAUUGAUUAAAGUAGCGCUACGAUCUCCGAACAAAUUGCUCAGAUCGGAUCACUAUAGCACUAACUACCAUACAAAAUGACCGAUGAAAAUCAAGAUAAAUAUCGUUUUACACUUUUCAUGCUAUAAGAAAUGCACCUGUGAAGGGUAUUAUAACUUCGAUACUAACGAAGUCAACAUUUUUUCUUGUUUUUUUUUUUAUUAAAACAUUAUUAAAUUUAUCUUCAUCUUAAUAUUUAUUUUGAUGGUCAUUAAUUUUGAUAACCUCGUUAAGUCGUCUAGGUAGAGAUCAAACUAAGUGUUCCAAAAAGAUUUCUUCAAGCUUGUUCUCUUCCUGUAAAGCUGCAGUUAGGUCGAGUUUGCUUUGAAUUUUUAAUUAUCUGGGGGUUCUCUUCCAUUUCUUUCACAAGUGUUCAAUGGGGUGGAGGUCAGGACUCUGUGGAAGCAGGUUUAGUAAAUUUGGAUAUUUUUAAAAAAAUUUUAUAACAGCGAAAAAACAUUAUUAUAAAUCGAAAGUUUCAAGUUUAGCAGAAAACUCGCUCCUCUGUAAACACUUACUGUCCUUAUUUUUAAAUUUAUUUUUAAAAUUUUUUAUUAUAAUUUUUUUGUUUUUUCGUUGAUUUUUGACGAUAAAUAUCUCUUAACUUAAUCGAAAAUUCAUAUAAACCGUUUUUGUUCAGCAGAAAAUUUUCCACAAAACUAUAAGCGUUGCAAUUUAAAAUGAUGUUCUCUCAUUGAAUUAUAAAAUUCAAAAGAAAAAAUAACAAAUUUGCCUUAAAUUAGUCAAACUUCAACCAUUAAUAUUUUCGAAACAGUUAAGUUAACGAAAAAACCGUAGAAGUUCAUUUUCCAUUCAGUUUCCUAUAAAACCUAUGAACCGAAAUUUUUUUUAAAAUAGUUGGAAACGAGAUAGAAAUUUUUUAUCUGAUAAAAAGAAAAAAUAGAAAACUGUUGGGCGCACAGGGUUUGUGCGGAAAGUAAUAGGAUUGAGUCGUCAUGGAAGGCAUUCUCCGGAAUAGCCUUGAGCGCCGAGGUGCAUGCUGCUUGGAUCCCCUCUCUCUUUUCAAAGUGGCGUGUGUCACUCGGGAGAUUGCCUCUUUGCUUCGGGAUCAUACUCAAAGAUCCAUGACUCGUCACCUGUGAAUACGUUCUUCAAAAAUUGGGGGUCACGUUCACACAAGUUCAAAUAUUCUUGGCACACUUCCAUUCGCCGCAAUUUCUGGUCGUCAGUGAGCACUUUUGGGGACCAUCAAGUGCUCCGUCACAAUGUUAUGACCCACAUAGUUUGAUAAAUUUCACAUCUGGGCAAUUAAGCGAAUACUUAGUUAAGGUCUGUCGAAGUCGCAGGUCCCCCAGCACGGUCUUUAUCAGCGACUCUGCCCGGUCCUCCAAAAAGGCCUGGUGUUACCGAAACGUACCACUUCUUGCUAAAACAAUAUCUGAGUAAAUCUGCUUGAAGAUAUCAAAAGUUUCUGUCGCUGAUUUACCGAGUUUCACACAGAGUUUAAUCGCGUACCUCUGUUCUAACGAACGCUGCAUUGUCGGCGUGCACCACUCACAGAAACACGUCCCGCCAAAAUGUUUGUCUUGACUCUCCACCCCUCUACCGAAUCCAGUCAUUUUUCUUUUUCAACCUGAUCCCGUUUUUUAAAGCAGCCAAUGUCAUAUUGAAUAGUAGACCGGUUUCUGAACAAUAUUUUAGCUAUUUUCCUGUAAACCUACAACUAACUUAGGGUCUUCUUAGGUGUAUACUUUAGUUCUGCAAAAAAAAAGGUAAAAUACACAAGAAAAAAUCUCGUCCCCAAAGUCAAAAUAGAUCAGAUGAGAGCGCUUUAACAAUCACGUAUAACAUAAUUUUUAUGGUAUCGGGUUUGGAACUAAUUUACGUUUCUCUCAAAAUAUAAGUCUUCAAUAAUAAGCAUGUAAGUGAAAAAGUAUUUUCACCUGCUGUAUCAUGACUUUAGUAGCACACUGUAUUAGCUGCGUACUAAGCUUUAAACGAAAAUCAACCUGCAUGAGAAGUUUACCAAUAUAUUUAUUGUGGAACGUUUUGACAUUUGAUAAAAACCAGAAAAUCAGUUGAUCGAUGCCCAAGUAAUUACAAUUGUGACAACCUUACUUUGCCUUUAAUUGGGAAUUAAAAAUAUGAGCUUAUUAUAUGUAUAAGUAAGUGAGUACUUUAUUGUCUACUUUUAGGUAAAAAUACAAAUAACGCCAGAGAACUAAGAGCAGCUUGCAAAGCUUGCUUAUUCUACCAAAUUUUGGUUUUUAAAAAUUUUUAAAUACAAAUUUUUCAUUUUUGUUAAAAAGGCCACUACCUUCUUCUUCUUUUGAUAAGAGGUUUUGAGAUUAACAAUUUAAAAUUAUGCAUACAGGGUGCCCUUCGGUCUUAAACAAUUUAUUUUGACCAUUUUAUGAACAAGAUCAAUCUAGAACCGCCCUUAUCGUCGACAUCUACCUUUACUUUUCCGGGCAUCUCGUGCAGUGUCAUUCGACACAAAUGUUUGCUUUGUGCAUACUUAGGAUUGAUUGCAUCCAUUUAGUUUUUCGGAUAAUCCCACAAAAGGACUUAGAUGGAUUCAAAUCUGUAUAUCUGUAUAUCUGGCUGGCUAGUCAGCCCUUUGGAAAGCACACGUCUAGAAAUUUAUCUAAUUUAAAGACAAAUCAUAAAUUAAUAAAAUUAUUAAAUAAGUUAAUAAUGUUACUUUCUUAAAAUUAACUUACAAAAAAAGCGAGUGACAUUGUGUAGCUUCUUAGUUCUGUCUCAUUCUUCAUAGAGCGGGUUUUUGAUAAAACAGUUAUUUUUCAGUUGGGUUAUUAUAUCCAUUAUUUGUGACCAAACCGAAUUAAACUCAUACAUUUUUUUAAUUCAGUUUUUAAUUUUAUUACAUUUUUUUUAACUCGUCAAAACAAGGUCCAAGCUCUUCUAAUUAGGUGCCACAAAUGAAGAAAAACAGUAGAAUGUGCAAGAUUAAAAUAGAAAGAAGCAAUGCUCUGUGGAAUAUGUAUAUUUUGGUGUAAUUCUCGCACAUUCCCGUGCAAUUGUAAUUGAAAUACUUAAAGUACCUUAAGCCAUUCGGCAUUAAAACCUUUUAAUAUAGAACAAUUCAUAAUUCGAAAAACGUAAAAUAGUUGACUUUAAACAUUAAUUAAUUAAAUAAAUAAAAACAACAAAUAUAUAAGAAAAUGCAUUACAAUUAAUUAACAGUUAAGUAAUUUUAUUAACUAAAAUACCAAUACGAUUACAUAUAUAAACCACUGAACUUGAUGUCAAAUACAGCAAAAAAAGUGUAAAAAUUGCAAACAGAAUUAAAACAAAAACACCAAUUGUGUAAAUUUUCGGAAAUAAGCAACUUUUAAAAAAUAAUAAGCUUUCUUAAAAAACUAAAAAGUUUAACAAUAUUUCAGAUAAGCAAAUACAAUUAAGAGAACAAUUCCAUGCGCACUUUUUAUUAAACACACACAAUCACAUAGCGAUAUUGCGGUACUUGGUGCGUUACGUUUACAGACAAGCAUUACGAUUACAAUAUUUUCGGCGCAAAAUAAAUGACGACAAAACUUGUUGUUUGAAAACUACGCAGUUCGUUUGAAUCAGGGUUGCAAAUAAUGCACUAACAGUAAUUGAAUUGGUUUUUCCAUUUAUUAUUUUUUAUUCUGCAAUCCCGACUAUUUUAUUAUAAUUAAAAAUAAAUUUUUGAUUUUUAACACCACACACCGGAUUAAAAAAAAAAUUAUUCCAAAUUUGAAUGAAAUAUUUAAAUUAUUUUAAAUUUUAUUAUUUUAAAAUUUAUAUUUUUAUUUAUAUUUUUAUUAAUUUAAAAAAUUAUAAUUUUAAUCCCAAAUAUCUGACUGAAAAAAAUAAAAUGUUUAUAUCAUUUUUAAAAUUUAAAAUUUUAAUUUACUCUGGGCAUCAAAUGAAAGCGUAAAUUGUAUACAUAUGUAUAUUACAUACUUGCGCCCUCAGAUCAUUUACUUCCCAAAUUUUCGCUUAAGAAUAAAUCCAUAAAGCAUUUCAUGAAGAUGCACCGAUAUGUAAAUGAUCAGUUGAAGUAAAAUUUGCACUUAUUAUUUAUGCGCAAAAACUAUUUCCGUGAUCUUCGCUGGUGAGCCUAUGAGUGCGCGUCAAAUGAAAGUAUAAUUUUAGUUCUGGUUCAUUUCUUUCAAGGUUAAACUGAAUUUUACUACAGAUUUAAUAAAUUUGCAAUUCCUAAAUGAAUUUCUGUUAAGGUGAAUAUUUUUUAGUUCUGUUCUUAGUUAAAAACACUGAAUAAACUGAAGAAAUACAGAACUUUAUAGAAGAAGAUGGAAAGAGAAGUGAAACGUGUCGAAAAAUAUCUGAAAAAUAUUCCAAUUUUAUCGGAGGGGCAAGAAAUAUUUUUGAAAACUUCAAGAAAAAGAAGACAUACAAGACUAUACGGUGGAGGUCCCAAGCCUAAUUGCUAUACUUGCUGAGCGACUUAUACGAAGAAAAGUUGCUGGAAACCCUGAAAGACCUUGGGUUUGAUCGAGGAGCUGUUGAUUUUUCCAACAGUACAAUGCAAAGGAAACUACGAACAUCUGGUUUUAAAAACUACAAUAUGUCGCAAAACACGACCAAUGAUUUCCAUAGUGAAUAGGAAAAAAGACUAGGCUGUGCAAAACUAAAUCUAAAUAUGCCAACUACAUUUUGGGAUGAAGUGAUUUGGUUCGAUGAACUCAAAUUCAAGGUAAGGAGUUCAAACGUGUCAGGCGAGAGUGGUGUAAACCUUCUCAUUGCUUAAGGGGUUACAUAGGUUUCCUCGGGUAAAAAACACCCUUUUAUCAAAAAGUUUUUUCAUAUAAAAAUGAAAUGUUUUUUAUUGUUACAAAAAUACACUAUUAAAAAAGAAAUUCUAAAGUUUUUGGAAAAAAAUAUUAUAAAUUCGGUCCGGUGACCCCUCGGAAAAAAGAUGCGCCCGUGUUGGCAGGAUAAUUUCUUACAAGAUCAUCUAAAGUGAAAAAAUAUGUAUUUUAGUUAAAACCUUAACUUUGAAUUUGGACGAAGGAAACAAAAACUGAAAAUUGGAUUUUGGCUAGACAGUUUUACAAAAAAUUAAAAUUUCAGUGAAAAUUUCGCCACAUUUUUUUUUCAAAUAUUUGUAAUCAAAAAUAAAAUUCAUCAAGUCUUUAAGAAUUGCAUCUCAAAGACUUGUUUAAAUUUCAUGAAGAUCGGUUGAGUAGUUCUCGAGAAAUUUAGCCAACCAACUUCACAAACACAGUUUCGAGAAAAACGCGUAUAAAGACGACGAACUUAGCCCAGCUAGCCUCGAGCACACAAGUUCUCAAGGCUGUAUCUCCGAAGCUAUUACACGGAUCAACUCGAAAAUUUAAGACAAUAUAUUAUAAUAUUUUGGAGGUGUUAUAAAAUUUAAAAGACAAUAUUUAAAAUUGAUUUUUUGAAACCCGUAAACUCAUGAAGAAGAACCCAUGUAACCCCUUAAAACCACAGCGCAUACAAAUAUCAGUCAAGCAUGGAAGAGGUUAUCUCAUGGUUUGGGGCUGUUUUUCAAAAUACGGUGUAUAUAGUUUAGUUAAAAUCGACGAACGAAUGACGGGUGCUUCCUGUGUUGCCACUCUUAGCGAAAAUUUGACAAUAAGUGCAGAAAAAUUGAAUUUGGUUUCGUUUAACUUCCAACAACAUAACGACUCCAAACGCAAGUCCGGUCUGUCUACCCGCUUUUUUGAAGAAUGCUUAAUCGAAAAACUAACCUGCCAGCUAAGUCAGCGGAUUUAAUUCCAGUUGAGGAUUUGUGCUAAAUUUUUUAUUUCAAAAUACCAAAAAUCAGCCGUACAAUCUUGGAAUAUCGUUUCUUAGAGAUGAAGCGUCAAUGGGAUAAUAUUCCAAUGAAAAUAUUAGAAAAUUUGUUUCGACGCAUGCCAAAACGUCUUCGUGCUGUAAUUCAGAGCAAAGAUGAGAAUAGUAAUUACUAAAUUUACUUUUCACCAAGUGUUUUGCAUUUUUUCAAAGUUUUUACUUUUAUUUCACCACCUUUUGUUUAAGAAUCCCUAUUUUGAGGGCGAGGUAAUUUUUUUCUACUCCUGGAAGAAGAUAUCUUAAUUUAUAAUUUCUUAGUAAACACCUAUGUAUUUUAAUAAAUCUGCAUGGAAAUAACGUAAUACCAUGUUCAGACAGAAAAUUUAAAAGAUUAGAUUAUAUUUAAGCAUUUCAUAACUCAACAGUGUUCUCACUGCCGUUAGAAAGAUCAAAAAACAGCUGUUAUUGUCAUUCAAGAAUUCACAUCGCUUAAUAUUUAUCAAAAGAAAAGAUUGUCAUAUAGUAUUUUGAAAUAAAAAGACGGCGUUUUUUAACAUUUUCCAUAUAAUAGAAAUAAUGGAUGCAUUUUUUCAUUUGUUAAGUCGAUUUUCAGAUGAAAUUAGAUUCAUUGCUUAAAAAAAAUUUGUUUGUUUACAUUUUUUCCCUUUGUAGUGUCUAAAUCAGCUGUGAUAAUGUAACAGAUUUCCAGUGCUGACAAGUAGAUUGCGCAAAAUCAGAGUCGCACAGAGAGAUUUAGCGUGGAUCAGUUUCAAAUCAUUUCAAUGAAGUGAUUUGGAACUGUCAUUUUUGUAUGGCGAAAUCUUGAUAAAUUUUUAAGAUUAGUGGGAUAAUCCAUUCAACAGCCGAAAUCGUGUGAUUAAGUGUCGGUCUGAACAUGGUAUAACGCGAAAUUUAUACUUUCAUUUGAUGCCUAGUGUAUAUAUCAUCAGUUUUUAAUUCUGAUUUUACUAUUAAACCAUAAGCUUUAAACUUUUACUUUGGAAUCAAAAAAUAAAGUUUUAAAUUUUUGAUGCCAAACAUCCUGUAUUAAAAAUAUGAUCUCGUAUUAACUUUUAGUACCAAGAUCGGAAUAUAAAAAUGAAAAACCUAAUUCGGAUAAACAAUUUUUGAUUAAAAAAAAGUUCGUAACCCUAGUUCGAAUUAUAUUUUUGUCUGCAAACUUGUACCAUACACAGGUCGAAAUAUACUACUAUAAUUGUAGUUAUAGUUGUGAUCGAUCUAUUUAAUGUUCUUAUGUAGUAUAAUUUUUAUACACAUAUGUACAUAUAUUUUAUAUACAUAAAUCUUUGUAAUUCUGCAUCCAAUAUAUGUACAUAUAGUUCAUGGGUAUUCAGAAGUGAUUCAUUAACAAUUAAUAUAUUUUUGGAUUAAAUCACUUUGGAACCAUUUAUUAAAUAACUAGUAUUGAAAAGCUGCAGAUCAAAAUAUGGAAUAUACGUAACGAACCACAAGUCACACUUUAACAAUCAAUGUUCGACAACUAGUCGAAAUGGUCAUCUUUUGCUUUCACACAAUCGCUCAAACGAUUCGGACAUUGAGCAAAGGUACACGCAUAGUUUUCGUUGGUAUUGACGAAGCUGCUCGAAUCAAAGCUGUUUUGAGAUUCUCCGAAUUUCUGUGGUCCAUGUUCUCCAACUUUGACCACAAAAUGUAGUUCCCAACUUCCAGAGGACCCAUCAUUGAACAUUUUUUGCGUCUUUGAAAGCUUUUGUGUAGAUUUUGUCGUUUUGAUUAUUGUAAACUGCCUCAACCGUAACAAUUUUUUCAUCUAUAAAAAAGCUUAAUUUAAUGUUGAGUAUAGUUUUUCCUUAAGCGAAAUUCAUUAUUUGAAGUUUUGUGCAGAGAAAUGGAAAAUUCUAAUUUUUAUUUUAAGCCACCAAGUCAGUGGGAAAAUCUGCAGAUAUUGCUUAAUUUUUAUUUGUGUUUAGUUACUUAACUAAAUUUAAAAUAUAUAAGAUACAUUUAUAUACAUUUUAAGUCGACAGGAAAAUAAUAAUAUUUUAUAAAAGUAGUGUGACUCUUUACUUUUCUUUAGCUUAAACAAAAACAGACAUAUCAAUGAAAAUGCUUUGUACACAUAAUUUGAGAAACUUUCUUAAUUUAUUUUAUUAAGUUUUAUUUUUUAUUGUUUUUAUAUUUAUGGAAAACAAAAUUUUGAAGGAUCAUAUUAACCAUAUAUGUUAUAAAAACCAUGCUUUAACUUAUUUAAAAAAUGCAACAUUGCCAGAAAACAAAUAAAUAAAAAAGCAAAAACAGUAGAAACAACAUGCAGCAAGCUAAGCUUUAAAAACGCACACAAAUUGCGUCACGUGGUGAAAUUCCAGCUGUAAAACAUUUUUAAAUUAUAGAAACAAGCAAACCAGUAUGAGCGACGGAGAAACAAACAUAAAAACGAAAAUAUUUAUUGCCAGCAAUUAUGCUACAGUUGUUAGAUGUGCGAUUACAAGCGUACUGUUAUAAUAAUUUAUAGCAAAAACUACGAUUCUCUCAAUGAAACUAAGUUAACAGGUUCCCUGUCCAAUGUAUCACAUGUGAUACAAAAUUAUUUUCUUGUACCAUGUGUACGGCGUCCAUGUAUCAUAUAUGAACAAAUUUUUGGUUGAUUUGAAAUAAGUUUAUUAACAGCAGAAUGUCUAGAUCCGUAAUAGUGGUCGGCAUUUCAUAGCAAAAUUUUGCAAACUAACUUCACACGUACGCUUACGCUCUAUCGUUCAGUCGUUGUCGAGCCAGCAACGAAUUAACAUUACGCAGGACUAUACCGCAAAACCAAAUAUGCCCUGCGAGAAAUAUUUUAUGAUUCUAAAUGCCUUUGGUGCCAUGCAGUGCCUUUUAUGUUCCACGUCUUUUAAAGAUAAUAGGGAAUAUAUCCUUAAAAGACAUUUUGUUAAUUUUCAUUAUACUCUUAAUUAUUUAUAAAAUUUGCUUAAUUUUAAUUACAAUUUCUCACUGGACUACUUUUUUUUCGUGCUCACCAACACAGUGACAGAUCCUCUCAUGCCGACCACUGAUCUGUAAGCAAAGAACUAUUCAACACUGUACGAAAGAGAGAGAGCGAGCGAGAGCGCACCAACACUCUGUACAGCUGUAAAAUUGUAAAAAUACCGUUUUAUUUAGAUAUUUCAUUGUAUAAAGCGAAAAAGUAAAAAAAAAAAUCAUGUGAAUUAAAGAAAAAAGUUCAAAACUUCAGCAAAACUGACUACUUAAAACACACUGCAAUUCUUUGAAGAACUUUUGGCUGCUCUCACCGAAUGCUGCCAAUGAUUUCACACUCACAAGUAAGUUGUAAAAUUGCAUACCUUUACAUACUUACACACAUACAUAUGUACAUGGUACUUAUAACAUACUUGUAGCUCAGUAACUGUAAAACUACGAAAGUAAGAUUUUAAACUAAAUAGCAAAAGCGAUUAUUUAACCACACACAUAGAGAGUAAUAGCUAAAAAAUGUUAAACUAACUGUAAAGCGGUGCUCAGCAACCCCACUUACAUACAUACAUAUAUACAAAACUCACAUAAGUACAUACUUAUAUAAAUGCCAUAUGAAAAUUAUGUACUGUUAUAAUCACUGAUAGGUUUUGACUUGCAUUGCUGUAUUAUUACACCCAACACUUUUUCCUUAAAUUUACCGUUAUGAUUACAUUAAUUCCGCCAACCAAGAUUAUUUACUUCUAAUUCUAGUUAAACUCUUUCCGAAUUGUUAACAAGUCUUGUAAAUUAAAAAAAAAAUUAAAAACAGCAAAAAUUUACAAGUUACUAAACACUUAGUAUAUAUACACAUAGAUUAUAUAUUCUAUCUUUACAUAACAUACAUACUGAAUAUACUUAAUAUACAUAGAACAUACAUACAAAUGUAAGUGAAGCUGCGCUGAAGCGAAAGUGGUGCAAAUGCAAGUGAUAGACAACACUUUGCACUUUCUGUGUAAACAAAAUAAAUUAAUUACAUCAAUAAAGUUUUAUUAUUAAUACUUUAGUCAGAACAGAAAAAAGAAAGAA